rnacentral:rRNA from 1 species
UACGGGGGGGGCAAGCGUUGUUCGGAAUUACUGGGCGUAAAGAGUGCGUAGGCGGUUUUCUAAGUUUGGUGUGAAAUCUCCCGGCUCAACUGGGAGGGUGCGCCGAAGACUGGAAGACUAGAGUGUGGGAGAGGUAAGCGGAAUUCCUGGUGUAGCGGUGAAAUGCGUAGAUAUCAGGAGGAACACCUGCGGUGUAGACGGCUUACUGGACCACCACUGACGCUGAGGCACGAAAGCGUGGGUAGCAAACAGG